AUGGAUGGAUAUAUCGUACACGUUGUGCAAAAUGCUAGCAAUUACACACAACAUAAGUUCAACCACCAUUCCGUAAUUCACAUCACAAUAGCACCAUAUUUUCAAUUUUCAAGCAUUACAAGCAUGGUAUCCAACAAGUACCACGGUAGCACUUCACUUCUAACAUGUACAACUUUUGGCAUCACCAACAUUAGAGCAAAUCCAAUGGGGUUCGCGGAGUCGGCCAAGAGGAAGGGCCGGAGGCACGCCUCGGACGCGCGGGAUGAGGCCGCCGCGCAGCAGGAGGACACCAUCACCCGCGUCGCCGCCUUAACAAGGGAGGCGCUCUACAUGCUAGGGCUUAACCCUAGCCAGCACAGCCUCCUCAACGCCGCCGUCGCCGCGGCCAGCGCCGGCUCAUCGGCGUUUCCUCGGAUGGUGCUGCUCGACUCGCCCCGCGCGUCGGCUUGCAACCCAAUGUUCGGCUUCCAUGUGUACCCGCAGGCCUCCCGCCUCUCUGGAGAGUGCUCGCCCGACGUGGGCGUGGUCGCGCCUUCCACGCUCGCGCCCGCGCCCAUCGACCUCAAUGCCACCCGGGUGGCCGGUGGCUCGUCAUCCGGCGGCGCGAGGAAACGCGCGCGGCAGACGAGAGAAGUGGCUCCCGCGAGCAUGAUGACCGGGGUGGAGAUCAUGAAGGUGGAUCUCAACACCGUGUCGCCAAGGAAGAGGCCGUGGUUCAAGAAGAUGCAGGCUGAGAUGCUCAAGUUCGACGACGAGUGA
rnacentral:rRNA from 1 species